GUUCGUAAAGCAACUAAUAUAGGAACGGAGAUGGGCAAACAAUAGUUUACCUCAUGCUUUUCACAUAUUUUUCAUAUAUAUAAAAUGUCAAUACUAGAUGGUGUUUGUGUAUAUAUGUGACUGUGAUUCCAUUGUUAUUGACCAAAAGAAGACUAAGUAUCUGGAAAAACAACCAAAAAAGCAACAAAAACAGUUUCAACCAUCGGACCAUUAAGAAUAUCUGAUAUACUUAAUGAGGCCGUAAAUUUCAGUUAUGUACAUGCAGAUCCAUUAUUUUACUGCAUAAAUAUCAAAACUCUAGGGCAUCCACCUGCAUUGCAUGCCUAUGAAGUUGUAUGCUGCGCAGAGGAACAAGACCCUCUUUAUAACGGGAGAAGAUUGUUAAAGAGCCAAUAGCAACCACCUGAAACAGCAACUGAAAUGAAUCAUCCUCAACCAAACAUUGUGCAGCUGAAGGAUGGCUUGCCAAUGCUUUCAUAACAUGCACUAUGCUUGCUUCCACCUCAAGCCGGCGAGCAUGCCCAACAUCACCAUGAUCUUUUUCAAGUAGCAGUGGCACUUCAUAGUUAGUAGCCUUUUGCCUUUGUUUGACUUCAGGACUCAGAGGGACAUUCAAAAUAUGAAUGAGAUAGCAUAAUAUCCCGGAGUCAAGGAAAGACUGUUUAUCAAUAGGCCACAAGACAAAGCUUAAUUUUAAAGCUUUUAUAGCAGAAAUAAGCUCAACAUAGGAAUCACAUCUGAACAUGUAUCUCCUGACUCUACCUAAACUAUCAUAAUCAAUAUCUUCAUAUAUUGCACACGAUAUUAACUUCACUUGCAACACUGCAUCAAGUCACCCGACAUCAUGAUUGCAUGGAAGAAAUAACUCAAAGAUUGUAUUAGAUAAAGAUAGGACAGAAAUGAAGCAAACGACUCUCACACAUCCUAUUUUUUCCAAGCCAGUUAAGGUAAGAGAAAUAUACCCCAGAUACAAGGACUUCCAUGGCAGUUGACAAAUUUGAACCAGGACUGAUGCCAUCCUUUGUGACUUCUGAAAAAAAUCUUAAUACAUUCUCUACAUCCAGUGAUCUUGUUUUGCUGCUGAUCUUUAACUUCUCAACAUCUGUGAUGAAGGCUCCUCCCACAACAAAUGAGAAAAUGUGUGUUUCAACUAACCUGUGAUUCAUCAAAAAAAAGUUCAUAAUGUUUCAACAUGCUGAAAACUACACAAAGUACCAAAGAAGAAAUCUUAUACAAAAAGUGAAAAACCAAUAACGAGUUCCUCUGCUGACUUGCAUUAUUGAAAAUAAAAGCUAGAUACUGUACAGAGCAGAAAACUGGUUAUCUCAAACAACUAUUAAAUGAUAUGUUCAGAUGAAACAGCUUGAGGAAGAGAUAUGGCAGAUCUUACUAAUUUUGAUCCAUCAAUCAUUCUUUCCACACAUAUAUUGCAUAGCAAAAACAAUAGAAAAAUAAACCUAUUUUUAUAGUAAACAAAAAGUCAAAAAGGCCUACCCACAAAAAAGGAGUACUAUGGACAGAAAAAUGUCUGCUGUAUAACACAAUGGAUGCACCACAAGAAAGACAAUAAAAGAAUCCAUAAGAUCUAUCAAAGCCUGUGCAUCCAUGGUUUAACAAUCAGUAGAGCGCAAGUGGGGGAAAAAAAGGGGGGAGGGAGGCAACAACAAUAGUAAUAACCAGUUCAAGGAGGAACAAUUUACAUACAUGGUAACCAAUUUGGCUACAUUAGCAUAAUGCUUCACUAAUCUACAAAAAGAAUAU
rnacentral:misc_RNA from 1 species